rnacentral:lncRNA from 1 species
UCAGUUACCUAAGUGAAAGCGAUGGAACAAAGCAGGGUACCAUAAUGACCACUGAUGUGCAAGAUGCAGCGUUGCUAGUAUAGAUAGCAACUUCCAUCACUACCGUUCAGAGGUCUGGAAUUAGUAGAGCUGAAGAGCUGCCGUUCGUUCGUGCAAAGUUUCUUGCCGCCUUCAUCUGACAACAUUCUUCCACGCCGUUUAGGAAUACUGAACCUACGGUGGUCGUGACACUGACGCCGGAAAAUGUCUCGUCCUUGCUGAAGACGGGUGCCCUGGUGGCGCUGCUCUUGGCAGGCUGGGUUGAGCUAGGCCGCAAGAAAACGAGGAUCUUCGGUCGCGUUCGGGGAGUAACAAUGCUGGACAUCGCUCAGCUGG